GACGAACGCUGGCGGCGUGCUUAACACAUACAAGUCGAACGAUGAAACCUAGCUUGCUAGGUCGAUUAGUGGCGAACGGGUGAGUAACACGUGACUAACCUGCCCCUUUCUCUGGGAUAACGCUCCGAAAGGAGUGCUAAUACCGGAUACUCACAUCGAGGCACAUGCCUUGAUGUGGAAAGUUUUUCGGAAAGGGAUGGAGUCGCGGCCUAUCAGCUUGUUGGUGAGGUAACGGCUCACCAAGGCGACGACGGGUAGCCGGCCUGAGAGGGCGACCGGCCACACUGGGACUGAGACACGGCCCAGACUCCUACGGGAGGCAGCAGUGGGGAAUAUUGCACAAUGGGCGCAAGCCUGAUGCAGCGACGCCGCGUGAGGGAUGAAGGUCUUCGGAUUGUAAACCUCUUUCAGUAGGGACGAAGCGAAAGUGACGGUACCUAAAGAAGAAGCACCGGCUAACUACGUGCCAGCCGCCGCAGUAA
rnacentral:rRNA from 1 species